rnacentral:rRNA from 1 species
AACGAACGCUGGCGGCAGGCUUAACACAUGCAAGUCGAACGGUCCUUCGGGACAGUGGCAGACGGGUGAGUAACGCGUGGGAAUAUACCUUUCGGUACGGAAUAGCUCCGGGAAACUGGAAUUAAUACCGUAUUCGCCCUACGGGGGAAAGAUUUAUCGCCGAAGGAUUAGCCCGCGUUGGAUUAGCUAGUUGGUGGGGUAAUGGCCUACCAAGGCGACGAUCCAUAGCUGGUCUGAGAGGAUGAUCAGCCACACUGGGACUGAGACACGGCCCAGACUCCUACGGGAGGCAGCAGUGGGGAAUAUUGGACAAUGGGGGCAACCCUGAUCCAGCCAUGCCGCGUGAGUGAUGAAGGCCCUAGGGUUGUAAAGCUCUUUCAGCGAGGAGGAUAAUGACGUUACUCGCAGAAGAAGCCCCGGCUAACUUCGUGCCAGCCGCCGCCGUAACAC